GUUAGAGUUAGUGUGAGUGUUAGAGUGUGUGUUAGUGUGUGUUAGAGUGAGUGUUAGAGUUAGUGUGAGUGUUAGAGUGUGUGUUAGUGUGUGUCUGCUAGUGAGUGUUAGUGUUAGUGUGUGUGAGUGUUAGUGAGUGUUAGUGAGUGUUAGUGUGUGUGUCUGCUAGUGAGUGUCAGUGAGUGUGUUACUGUGUGUGUCUUACUGAGUGUGUAUGUGUUAGUGAGUCUGUUUGAUGUCUGUUAGUGAGUGUGUGUUUGUCAAUGAGAG